GUUGCUCGGUACUGUCGUGCUCCACGGCCGUGCGCGCGUAUGAAUCUCGAUUAGUUUGGUGCCUUUGGCAGGUUACAGUCGGAACGAUCAAGCGAUCGCCCGUUCGUCCGCCGAUCAAGACCGGAGACCGGAGACCGGAUAUCACCGGUGCACGCGAUAUCGCGACAGGUGUCGUAAGAAAGAGAGAGAGAGAGAGAGACACAGCUCCGUAGCUCGCGUGAGUGCGGCACGCGCCGAGGGAGGAGACCGGAGAAGGCGCGCGCGCGCGCGCGCCAGAGGGACGCAGGAACGACACGCAGGGAGUGACACGCGACGUAGUGCGUGGUGCAUCCGUCCGCUCGACCAAUCGACCGUCUGACCGAACGUACGCACGGCACGGCACGACACGACACGGUGCGCGUGACGUACGCACGCACGCACGCACGCACGCACGGCGUCGGAAGCGCGCGCGCGCGCGCGCGCGCGUUCACACGCGUACACAUACGGUACACGCACACACGGACGCACGGAAGAGAUUGGCCGAGGAGGUCCCCCGUCCAACGGCGCCAAUUUAAUGGAUCCGACCAUCGGUUGGUAUCAACCGGAGCAGUACGGCCCCGCCAAGGAUCUUUGGUUGCACAUCUGGGAAGCCGAGAAGGGUCUCGACGUCCUCACUCUGCGUAACGACGCGAACACGAGUAACGCGAUGGGCGUGCGGCUGCAGCAGGACUUUCUCGCGCUGGACACGAGCCCAGCGGCGGCGGUGACUACAACGGCAACGACGACCACGACCACGACCACGACCGCGGCCGGCACUAUGCCGUCGUCCAAUGCCAACGCUAAUGACAACGGCAAUGGCAAUGGCAACGGUAACGGCAGCAAUACCAGCAACAGCAUUAGUAUUAGCAACGGUAGCAACGGUCGGACCACGUCCGCCGUUCACGGCAGUGCCGCUGGCAACGGAAACGGCGAGCACCGUGUGCCCCAUAACGCCUGCAACUUCUACUACAAUCCGUCCCGCAGGAAAGGCGAAAAUCGGGCGAGCACCUACGGCAUGAAUUACAAUUACGACGCCCUCGUGGGCGAGUACGGCGGUUGCCCUUGGCGCGUACCGAACAAGCACUACUCCAAGGGGGUGAUCGGAUUACAUGAGGAAAUAGAAGAUUUUUAUGCAUAUAUGUGCCCCUCGCAGGAAGAGCAUGUAUUAAGAUUGACUGUUGUAAAAAAAAUAGAAAAAGUAAUUUAUGAUCUCUGGCCAGACUCGAAAGUUGAAGUAUUUGGUAGCUUUCGCACUGGUUUAUAUUUGCCUACAAGUGAUAUAGAUUUGGUAGUAAUAGGAAUGUGGACAAAUCUUCCAUUGCGUACUUUGGAACGUGCUUUGCUAGAUCAAAAUAUCGCUGAGCCAUCAUCUAUUAAAGUACUGGACAAGGCCAGUGUGCCAAUUGUCAAACUGACCGAUAAGGAGAGCGAGAUUAAAGUGGACAUAAGUUUCAACAUGAACAAUGGCGUCAAAUCCGCCGAGUUGAUAAAUACUUUUAAGAAGCAAUAUCCAGUUCUGGAGAAGCUAGUCAUGGUGUUAAAGCAAUUUCUACUGCAAAGAGAUCUUAACGAAGUAUUCACCGGUGGUAUAUCUUCGUACAGUUUAAUACUCAUGACCAUCAGUUUUUUACAGUUACAUCCGAGAAAGGAUAUUCAUUGUCCAAACACCAACCUAGGAGUGUUAUUGAUUGAAUUUUUAGAGCUAUAUGGUAGAAAGUUCAACUAUGUUAAGACUGGCAUACGUGUAAAGGAUGGUGGUCUUUACAUAUCUAAAGAAGAGAUUCAACGAGAUAUGAUAGAUGGUCAUCGACCAUCCCUAUUGUGUAUAGAAGAUCCGCUCACACCCGGAAAUGAUAUUGGCCGUAGUAGUUAUGGUGCUUUAUAUGUAAAGAGUGCAUUUAAUUGGGCCUAUUGUAUUCUCUCUCAAGCGGCCAAUCCCUCAAAUAUCUUAAUUAAUGACGCCAGUAAAGUAAGCAUACUGGGAAGAAUAAUCCGUGUGACUGAUGAAGUAAUAGAAUAUCGUAGGUGGAUCAAAGAAACAUUCCUCUUACCCGUAAGCGAAGGAGACUCCCUGUCAAGCUCAACUGGUUCUGAUGCAUCCACUCUUUCAGCUCCUGCCAGUGAUACGGACUCCGAGUGUAGCCGUGGUAAUUCCCCAAACACCGGUGGAAAGAACGAAAACGACAAAAACAAAGAUAGACACUUGUAUAAUAGUCACCAAAUCCACAGUUAUUCUGGAAAAAAAGCAUUUAAAACAAUCACUCACGCCAGUCACCAACAGAGUUUCAAAGGCAGUUAUCAUCGCAUCAACAACAAUAUAGUUCAGAACAAGACCAAGCAUGCACUUCACAGUAAUGGAAACAACAAUAAUAAUAAUAACAAUACUAGUCACAGUCCAAGCUCUAGACCAAACUCAAUGAAGAGGAAGAAGCAGUGUACGAUGCAACGUGGGACUGGAGAUUGUGUACGGUGAUGAAAUGUGCACGACAAUUUCGGACAUCACUUCCGUCACUUAAGUAGCGAGCUCAACAUCAUAACUGUGUGUGUAUACAUAUUUCUUAUUGUUUUUCCCCUCUUUGCCAGACUCAUAUUUUAUUCUGUAUGCAAAAGUUUACAUAUUAAAGACGUACAGAAUUUUUAAUUGAGAUAAGAUCCAUUUCGCUUUUGUUGCACAGGUUAUACAAUACCGGUGUAAUAUUUUAUUAAUAAUCUCACAUCUAUAAAAAAAUUAUCAUUGCCAUCGUCGAAUAAUUGUGUUCGCAGCCAUUAUGAGUAACGUACUGUAAUAUAUUUAAAAGUAUGAGUAGUAUAUAGAUGAUAAGUUAUAGUACGUUUUUCUCAACACAAAAAAACUGUAAAACACGCUGAUAGUGACAACAAAAAACUUAGUUUUUUAAACGAAACUAUAUUCUUAUAACAAGAUGACAGUAAAUCUGGUGAUAUUGGGACUUAUCUAUUGUACAUAUUGUAACAUACAUCAAAAACAUAGAGAAGUAAGUCUAAAAGUUACCUACUAAAUUCUUUUUUAACUUAUAAAUAUCUAAAAGUAAUUAUUAUAGGGAUUUUAUCAUAAAAAUUCGUGGAUGAAGCCAUAUCUAUUUAAAACUAUACUUUUUUUGUUUUCUUUUUCUCUACAAAGUAUAAGUAUAUCGUUGUUGAAAGAUUUUGGUACGUUUUUCAAAUUUUAAUAAAAUUGCAGGUUUAUGUGUGAUACAUAAUACGAUGGAAAAGAAAUUAAAAAGUUUAAAUAACAAUAUUUUUAAAAAGUAGUUUAUUAUUAAGACUGAGUGAUGACAACGCUUCGAAUCUUCGCAGUCUAUUUCGUAGCAAAAAUUUGUUUUUCUUUUCAAAUUAGCUUUAUGUAGCUUCUUUUUGUACAAAGAGACACCAGUUUCUCAAUAUUCUCAUAAUUCUUAACAUCUGAACAAUGAUGUAUUAUUUUUAUAUCAGAUAAUUAAAAUAAAAUGUGUUUGUAUUAUACAAAGAGGGAAGAAAACGAAGAAUCUGAUAUUUAUGAAUCUUACAUUGCAUUUGAUGAAAACUUAUGUAUAUGACAAUACGCGAAAAGGCCUUGACAUUACUUAAAAGCUCCAUGUUAUGUUCACUGAUCAUGGUAGACAUAGUUCGCUAUCAAAUGUUACAUUCCGUUGACGCAAUAAUUAAUAAGACAGAAUAGAAAAAAAAAAGAGUUCACUGCAACAAAUCUCUUCAAUGACAUCAGAUCAAAAUCCUUUUCUGGUGCUACUGCAUUUUUGUGUUCAACGAUCUUUUAAAUGUGCGAUGUAAAGAUUUAUUUCUUAUAACUCUUUAAUUUAGCCACGUGAAUUGAGGAUGUUUAACUCUGAUAUAUCUUUUUAAAUUAUAUAUAACACCCAGUAUUCCAUGUAUAUUAUUUAACUUAAAACUCUUUCAUAUGUAAUAUUGUACGCUGUGAUUGAAUUUAAUAAUUAAAUUGUCAAUUUCUUAAAGAUAUAUAUAAAUAUAUAUAAAUAUAUUAUUUAAAUGUUACUGUAAAGCAUUAUAUAAAGCCAUACUACAUUUUUAAAACUCUGUAAACUAUUAUUAUCGCUUAGUGAUCCUCAACAAAUUACGUGUUUUUUAUAAAUAUCAGAAUUUCGUAAUCAUUGAAAGUUUGAUAACGAAACUUCGUGAUCACUCAUAUUUAUCGAAUUUCCCGAACAAGACUUAUCGGAUCGUCUGUAAAAAAACUCACAAAAAAAUGGAAAAAAAAGUUUAAUAAAUAUGAAUGAUGCCGAUAUCUGAUCUUAAUUAUUUCUUGUUUGUAUAUAUAAUUUUAAGGAAGGCGGUUUCACCUCUUAUAUAACCAUCAUUUAAGACCAGUUAGACUCACCGUUUGUAAAUUUUCUCGACAGCAAUAUACUCUAUUUUCAAAAAAAAGUUUGAUUAUAAUUGUAUAUUUAUAUUUGUGUGGGUAUAUUUUUAACUAAGCUAUAAUGUAACGAUGUAACACGAUCAGUAAUACAGUUUUAUUUCUGUAGAAUUGUAUUGUCGUUUCACAGCCGUUACAUUGAGAUUGUAAAGAUAUUCGACGCAUACACGCAUUACUAAAAGUUCGUAACUGUGUAACUACGAACUUUUAAAAGUACAGGUAACAGUAUAGUUACCCGUUUUUUUUUUUUGUUUUUUUUUAAAUAUAUAUAAUCUUGCGCGAGGAGAAAGGAAAGUGAGAUAGCGACUGUGCAAACUAAAUCUUAUGGAUUUAGGAAUUUUCAAUAGCCGCCAGCAGCGAUUUGUACUUACAACUAUCUACUCGUAAGUUUGUAUGCAUAUGUUCAAUCCAAGGUAAGAGAGAGGUGCGAAAAAAAUGUACAGAAGUUAAAAUAAAUCUUACUUACCUUUUUCUUUAA
rnacentral:misc_RNA from 1 species